rnacentral:lncRNA from 12 species
CAGGGAGGCAGCGUGGUAACAUGGUGGUAUUGAAUGCAGUACUAUAAUUGUGUGCAUCACUGAUAUUGAUUCUGUAUCUGCUUAUCCCAAAGUGGAGGAAGAUUCAAAGCUGCCAGAGAUCAAACUUCCCAGGU